AGACGGGAACUUGCUGUGUUGCCCAGGCUGGACUCAAACUCCUGGCCUUAAGUGAUCCCACUCAGCCUUCCAAAGCUGGGUAGCUUUUGAUUGCAGAUUCUAGCUAGGUUGCAGGACGUGAGGAAGUGGGGGUGCAGAAAUCACAGCAACACCCUCCCCCAAGGGUGCUUUCCGUGGCCGUGUACACAGCCCGCCUGGCCGGCUCUGAGAGCAGGGACCCUUCUCUGGAUGCUCCAGGCCAUCGCUGUGCAGGAACCCGGUGUGUCGUAAGUGAAGGACAGUCGUCUUUACCUUGGGGGAGACAGUUGUGGGUGCCUCCCUGCAGGCUGUGGCAUCUGUAAUUCCCCAAAUGUAGGUGCUACGUUGAACAGCCCCUUAGACUUCACCGCAGCACCGUGUGGCCACCGUGCACAGCCUUCCCAGGCCAGCUGCAGAAUUCCAUGGAAAAGGUUUUGUGAAUGAUUACAACUCAACGGUCUAGGCCCUCAACCUUCUCUUUUUAGAACAGUGCCCCCCAUUGUGGAAAUCCUCGGUUCAGCCACUGGGAACUCCCCAGUUUUGAGGGCAGGUGUUGGCAGUUUCAUUUGGUCCAACACCAAUUCCACGUUCCUGUGCCCCCUUCAACAGUCUGCGCAGCCUCCCAGUGGCGCAGCCUCCCCGUGACUCAGCCUCCUGGUGACACGGCCUUGCUAGCCGCCAUCCUGUACCGGGCCCAGGUGACACCGUGGGACGUCUGUUAUUUAGGUGCCCCUGGCCCCUGCCACGGGGUUUCCCACUUUGGGGGCCUUGCAUCUGUGUGGCUUCUUCCUUGCUCUCAGUGGUCACCUGGUUGUCGGUGGCCCGCGUCCAUCAGCCCAUCAUCAUUCCGACUUGCUGUUUUGAUCGUCGGCCGGAAAGCCAGACAGCUGGCCUUGCUGGACCAUGUCUGCAAUGGGAAUUUUGAGGCCGAGAGGGAGGGCUUCAGGGGCCCCUGGGAGUGCAACACGUAAAUGGGGGCUUGCACACGGGGUCGGGUGGGGGGCUCUUGCUCCGAUGUUCCGGGAUCUUUUUUGCCCCUUGUAGACCCACAGGUGUGUGUGCAGGAGCCCUGAGGAGGCCAGAGGAGGCCAGAGAAGGGUGAGCAGAGGUCCGAGGGCACUGCGGUGAGGCCAGGCUGCAGAUGGAGCUGGGGCUCGAGCUCAGGAGCUGGUCUUCCCUGCUGGGGCCGCGACGCCUGCCGCUUUCCUGCCGGCUCUCUGGGUCAAGGCCUGGAAAGGCUUUCUUCUCGGGCUUCUCAUCAGCUUAUUGGCCCAUUUAGCCAGGGCAAAGGUGCAUGACAACUCUGAGCAAGUCAAAACAACCGUCAGCAGCGGGAAACCUCGAUGAACAAACACCGGGAGAGUGCAUUCCCAGGGGAGUUCCAGGAGGCCCAUGGCCCCUCCUGUACAGCCCUCCACCGCCCAGAGCCUUCCAGCGCCGUGUCUUCCCCUUGGAGCAUCUGGAGGCCCCAGACAGCACCCGCCUGACGUUCAGCAGAGGGGGAGACCGAGGCCUGCAGCAGAGUGUUUUGUCAGAUGCUGCUCCCUGACCGGGAGUGAGAGGGAACCCACCUAGAGGUGCCAGAUGGGGUGCCAGGGCAGCGUGGCCUGCAGGCCCCUCAGCUCCUCACAGCCCCUGCCCCCAGCCUUCCUGGGCCCAGAGAUCCCCUUGUUUACCCUAGUCCAGGGACAGAGGCUCAGAUGUCAUGCUUGACCCCACAGGUACAGGGUUAGGGGUGAAGGUGGCUGUCUCUUCAUGUCUUCACCAUGGCUUCUCUGCCUUCCUCCUGCUCCUGGUGGCUUAUGUCCUGCCGCUCUUGAUACGCGACUGUGGUCUGUCCUGGGAUGGUUAUGAUGCAUAUGUGCUAUUGUUGUGAACUGUAACAUUGAGGUCUGGCCUUACGGUUGGUUUUGAUUGUCCCUUCUGCUCCCUUUUCUUAUUUUAAUAUUUUACCAUUUUCCAUUUUAAUGUA
rnacentral:lncRNA from 1 species